rnacentral:lncRNA from 1 species
GUUUUGAUAGGACUACACUUGAUUUCAGCUGUGACAUCAUGUGAGACAUUAGUGUUGCAGAGCACAUGUCAGCACAGAGAUCCUCUAAAGAGUUUUACAAGCCUGCCUACACAAACGGACACAUCUCUGAAGAUAUACCUGUCUCCCCAAGCCGUGGACAUUUACAAUGAAACCUUUCAACUCUGAGCCUUUUGCAACCAUGAUUUCAAAACAGAAGACACAGGUUCGGGAAUAGACCAUAAAUACUCCAAACAGGACUUCCACAGGGCUUCUCUGCUACCAGGAGAUGGCCUACGGCUGGUGAGGGAGUCUGCGUGGGACAUGAUUAAUAAGAGACCUUUGGGAGACAGAAAUGUUCUGUAAACAGCAAUGUAGGUAGAUCUGAAGAUCAAUAGCUUUGGGGAAACUGAAAGUCUAAAAUUUACUCAGGUCUACUUUUUGUUUAUUUCUUUAAUGCACAGAUAUUCCGAGAUUUCACUUUACCAGCAUCUUCAUUUUAAAUAACAUCCAUACACAACCUGAACUGCAGAAGUUUAGAAACUAAAUGCCUAUCUGUCCCUCUAUUUAAUUAACAAACACAUUCACAUCUAACCAUCGCGGAUCUUGAGUGACUUUCCUUUCUUCCAUACGUGAACAUAAUAAAGUGCCCCUCCGCUCCCAUGCCAGCCGUAGAGUCCUUUUGAAAUUUCCUUUUAGAGAAUUUAUAGAUUUUUGUAGCUUUCUCUGGUAUACAACUAUCCCAUAAUAAAAGCAGUUAAAAAGUUAAGCACAAUAUGUUGAAAGAUACAGACGUACCUAACAAGAAGAAACUCAGUAACAGUCCACAUCCCCAGGCAGGAAGAAAGCAAACCAGCAACUGCUGAUUGAUCUCAGUUUAAAGCUAAAUCACAUAUUCUUCCCUCUUUACACUUAAGUGUCAUAACUUAGCGAAGCUUAAAAAAUUAGAAAUCAAGUUUGGGAG